rnacentral:rRNA from 1 species
UACGUAGGGCGCAAGCGUUAUCCGGAAUUAUUGGGCGUAAAGAGCUCGUAGGCGGUUUGUCGCGUCUGCCGUGAAAGUCCGGGGCUCAACUCCGGAUCUGCGGUGGGUACGGGCAGACUAGAGUGAUGUAGGGGAGACUGGAAUUCCUGGUGUAGCGGUGAAAUGCGCAGAUAUCAGGAGGAACACCGGUGGCGAAGGCGGGUCUCUGGGACGGUACUGACGCUGAGGCGCGAAAGCGUGGGGAGCAAACAGG